GGGUUGUGAGGUUAAGCGACCAAGCGUACACGGUGGAUGCCCUGGCAGUCAGAGGCGAUGAAGGACGUGCUAAUCUGCGAUAAGCGCCGGUAAGGUGAUAUGAACCGUUAUAACCGGCGAUUUCCGAAUGGGGAAACCCAGUGUGAUUCGUCACACUAUCAUUAACUGAAUCCAUAGGUUAAUGAGGCGAACCGGGGGAACUGAAACAUCUAAGUACCCCGAGGAAAAGAAAUCAACCGAGAUUCCCCCAGUAGCGGCGAGCGAACGGGGAGGAGCCCAGAGCCUGAAUCAGCAUGUGUGUUAGUGGAAGCGUCUGGAAAGGCGCGCGAUACAGGGUGACAGCCCCGUACACAAAAGCGCACAUGUUGUGAGCUCGAUGAGUAGGGCGGGACACGUGGUAUCCUGUCUGA
rnacentral:rRNA from 1 species